rnacentral:rRNA from 1 species
UACGUAGGGGGCAAGCGUUGUCCGGAAUUACUGGGCGUAAAGGGAGCGUAGGCGGUCUUUUAAGUUAGAUGUGAAAUACCCGGGCUUAACUUGGGAGGUGCAUCUAAAACUGGGGGACUUGAGUGCAGGAGAGGAAAGUGGAAUUCCUAGUGUAGCGGUGAAAUGCGUAGAUAUUAGGAGGAACACCAGUGGCGAAGGCGACUUUCUGGACUGUAACUGACGCUGAGGCUCGAAAGCGUGGGGAGCAAACAGG